UCAGGGACCAAACCAUCUCAACGAUUAGGUCAACUCUUAACCUAAUCGGGUCAAACCCAACUGAAUCCAAUUCAAUUGGACUUGAUUCAAAAAUAAUUACUCAAUCAAAUUGAGUUAAUUAGCGAUCAAAUCACUAAUUAAACCUCUCAUAAAUACUGAGUCCAAAUUCGAUGGGCAAUCGGGCAUCAGAAUUCAUCGAUAUGUAACCCUGAUUGAAAAAUCCCAACCAGUGAGACUCUUGACCCCGGUACCCAUAAUGUGUGAAACUCGUGAUCCGAGAAUCCUGAUUCUCAAUUACUGAGUCCCAAACAUGUAGGAUUCUACACCAGCCAUCAGAUCAGAUAGGAACCUCUAAUGUGUGUGACCCCGCAGGUUCGAACCUAAGCCGGUAGCACAGGAACCAAUUCCUGUAUUAAUCGAAGUGACCAUCUAGCAAUGGUACCC
rnacentral:lncRNA from 1 species